ACUUCGUAACAAAAACGUUCCGGUAAGUGGACCGAUGAUUAAAGAAAAGGCACAAGAUUUCGCGCGAAGGCUCGAUAUUCAUAAUUUUUAAUGGAACCCUCUGUAAAUGAGACAGAUAUUUAUUUAUACCUGUAUAUCUGAGACACUGGGUAAGUGGAAUACCUCUAUAAGUGAAACGACAUUGCAGGUCCCUUGAUGUCUCACUUAACCAGGUUUCACUGUAAUAGAUAAAUAA